AGUGAACGCUGGCGGUAGGCCUAACACAUGCAAGUCGAACGGCAGCACAGUAAGAGCUUGCUCUUACGGGUGGCGAGUGGCGGACGUGUGAGGAAUACAUCGGAAUCUACUUUUUCGUGGGGGAUAACGUAGGGAAACUUACGCUAAUACCGCAUACGACCUACGGGUGAAAACAGUGGAUCUUCGGACCUUGCGCGAUUGAAUGAGCCGAUGUCGGAUUAGCUAGUUGGCGGGGUAAAGGCCCACCAAGGCGACGAUCCGUAGCUGGUCUGAGAGGAUGAUCAGCCACACUGGAACUGAGACACGGUCCAGACUCCUACGGGAGGCAGCAGUGGGGAAUAUUGGACAAUGGGCGCAAGCCUGAUCCAGCCAUACCGCGUGGGUGAAGAAGGCCUUCGGGUUGUAAAGCCCUUUUGUUGGGAAAGAAAAGCAGCAGGUUAAUACCCCGCUGUUCUGACGGUACCCAAAGAAUAAGCACCGGCUAACUUCGUG
rnacentral:rRNA from 1 species